CCACAGAUACUUACAGAACUCAAAAUUUCCAUCCAAAAUUGGUGAUUUCCGUGACGAUCUUGUGACAUUGUAGAAGGAAAAGUGUGUUAUCGUGACAUUCAUCCUCCAAGAGGAGUCUUAUGGUCACUUGCAACAAGCGUGGCAAUCCUAGCCACAACUACAAGACUUGCAAGAGAGUUGCAACAAUAAAGAAAGGCACAAAAAAA